GACGAACGCUGGCGGCGUGCCUAAUACAUGCAAGUAGAACGCUGAAGAGAGGAGCUUGCUCUUCUUGGAUGAGUUGCGAACGGGUGAGUAACGCGUAGGUAACCUGCCUUGUAGCGGGGGAUAACUAUUGGAAACGAUAGCUAAUACCGCAUAACAAUGGAUGACACAUGUCCUUUAUUUGAAAGGGGCAAUUGCUCCACUACAAGAUGGACCUGCGUUGUAUUAGCUAGUAGGUGAGGUAAUGGCUCACCUAGGCGACGAUACAUAGCCGACCUGAGAGGGUGAUCGGCCACACUGGGACUGAGACACGGCCCAGACUCCUACGGGAGGCAGCAGUAGGGAAUCUUCGGCAAUGGGGGCAACCCUGACCGAGCAACGCCGCGUGAGUGAAGAAGGGUGUCGGAUCGGAAAGCUCGGUUGUAAGUCAAGAACGGGUGUGAGAGUGGAAAGUUCACACUGUGACGGUAGCUGACCAGAAAGGGACGGCUAACUACGUG
rnacentral:rRNA from 1 species